rnacentral:miRNA from 1 species
AUGAACGGCACAAUUUUGUGAAGAG